CAAUACAAGAGAGUGCCACCAGCCACAGGAUAAUAUCUCUGUGUGCUUUGAGAGGGGGAGGGAGGAGGGAAGGAGGGUAGUGGGCCAGGAGGGGUUUCGCCAAUCAAGCGGGCCACACUUCCUCCCCCAGGUUCUAAUUUUGUGCCACAUUAAAGAGCUCGGCCUCCAUUUAGGACACAGAGAGGCAUUUUCAUAAUUUGCCGGGUCUCUCGACUAGCUCGGGGUGCCUUUUUUCCUCUCUCUCCUCCCUCUCUCUCUCACUCCGUGUCUGAAUGGAAGGCCUGGGGAGGAAGAGGGGUAAUUCAUUCGCCUCCUUUCAACCAACCGGCUUCAGUUCUGCAUAAUGUUGCUGCUAGUGAUUACAGGGGCCUGCGGGCCUGGCGGCGGCUCCGUGGCUGGGACAGGGAGCUUCUCCCUGGUGCCGGUUUGUAUUUGCGCACCGGAGCUGCUAGCUGAGUCUGUGUGUCUCUGCUGGACUUCACAACUCUUCACCCAAUAUUGAUAUAUGCCUAGAAAGAUUAGAGAAGGUCAGGAGUGUGGAGCAGCCAGCAGGGGGGCAGUGAUCAACAGACUGGGGCACCCCUGCCGAGGGGCUCUGGGAUUAGGGCUAAACCUUGCCCUGCCAGAUGGGCACAGCACAUCCCCAGCAUUGCACACCAGCACCUUCUUCUGUGGAAACCAGGCGACUGGAACCACGUUGAUACUCACUGGACCACACAGAAUGGCAGCAGGAGAGAGACGACUGAGAUGAGGACCUGGAAUUUCCACGAGGAAGUUUGAUCCUUAUAAUCCAAGCAAUCGGCAUUGAAGUUCAGCUUCCACGACGCCGCUUGGUCCUUAUAAUCCAAGCAGUCU